rnacentral:rRNA from 1 species
UUAAGUUAUUAAGGGCGCACGGUGGAUGCCUUGGCACUAGAAGCCGAUGAAGGACGUUACUAACGACGAUAUGCUUUGGGUAGCUGUAAGUAAGCGUUGAUCCAGAGAUUUCCGAAUGGGGGAACCCAGCAUGAGUUAUGUCAUGUUAUCGACAUGUGAAUUCAUAGCAUGUCAGAAGGCAGACCCGGAGAACUGAAACAUCUUAGUACCCGGAGGAAGAGAAAGAAAAAUCGAUUCCCUGAGUAGCGGCGAGCGAAACGGGAAGAGCCCAAACCAACAAGCUUGCUUGUUGGGGUUGUAGGACACUCUAUACGGAGUUACAAAAGAACAUGUUAGACGAAUCAUCUGGAAAGAUGAAUCAAAGAAGGUAAUAAUCCUGUAGUCGAAAACAUAUUCUCUCUUGAGUGGAUCCUGAGUACGACGGAGCACGUGAAAUUCCGUCGGAAUCUGGGAGGACCAUCUCCUAAGGCUAAAUACUCUCUAGUGACCGAUAGUGAACCAGUACCGUGAGGGAAAGGUGAAAAGUACCCCGGAAGGGGAGUGAAAGAGAACUUGAAACCGUGUGCUUACAAGUAGUCAGAGCCCGUUAAUGGGUGAUGGCGUGCCUUUUGUAGAAUGAACCGGCGAGUUACGAUCUGAUGCAAGGUUAAGCAGCAAAUGUGGAGCCGCAGCGAAAGCGAGUCUGAAUAGGGCGUUGAGUAUUUGGUCGUAGACCCGAAACCAGGUGAUCUACCCUUGGUCAGGUUGAAGUUCAGGUAACACUGAAUGGAGGACCGAACCGACUUACGUUGAAAAGUGAGCGGAUGAACUGAGGGUAGCGGAGAAAUUCCAAUCGAACUUGGAGAUAGCUGGUUCUCUCCGAAAUAGCUUUAGGGCUAGCCUCAAGUGAUGAUUAUUGGAGGUAGAGCACUGUUUGGACGAGGGGCCCCUCUCGGGUUACCGAAUUCAGACAAACUCCGAAUGCCAAUUAAUUUAACUUGGGAGUCAGAACAUGGGUGAUAAGGUCCGUGUUCGAAAGGGAAACAGCCCAGACCACCAGCUAAGGUCCCAAAAUAUAUGUUAAGUGGAAAAGGAUGUGGCGUUGCCCAGACAACUAGGAUGUUGGCUUAGAAGCAGCCAUCAUUUAAAGAGUGCGUAAUAGCUCACUAGUCGAGUGACACUGCGCCGAAAAUGUACCGGGGCUAAACAUAUUACCGAAGCUGUGGAUUGUCCUUUGGACAAUGGUAGGAGAGCGUUCUAAGGGCGUCGAAGCAUGAUCGCAAGGACAUGUGGAGCGCUUAGAAGUGAGAAUGCCGGUGUGAGUAGCGAAAGACGGGUGAGAAUCCCGUCCACCGAUUGACUAAGGUUUCCAGAGGAAGGCUCGUCCGCUCUGGGUUAGUCGGGUCCUAAGCUGAGGCCGACAGGCGUAGGCGAUGGAUAACAGGUUGAUAUUCCUGUACCACCUAGUAUCGUUUUAAUCGAUGGGGGGACGCAGUAGGAUAGGCGAAGCGUGCUGUUGGAGUGCACGUCCAAGCAGUAAGGCUGAGUGUUAGGCAAAUCCGGCACUCAUAAGGCUGAGCUGUGAUGGGGAGAGGAAAUUGUUUCCUCGAGUCGUUGAUUUCACACUGCCGAGAAAAGCCUCUAGAUAGAUAACAGGUGCCCGUACCGCAAACCGACACAGGUAGUCAAGAUGAGAAUUCUAAGGUGAGCGAGCGAACUCUCGUUAAGGAACUCGGCAAAAUGACCCCGUAACUUCGGGAGAAGGGGUGCUCUUUAGGGUUCACGCCCAGAAGAGCCGCAGUGAAUAGGCCCAAGCGACUGUUUAUCAAAAACACAGGUCUCUGCUAAACCGUAAGGUGAUGUAUAGGGGCUGACGCCUGCCCGGUGCUGGAAGGUUAAGAGGAGUGGUUAGCUUCUGCGAAGCUACGAAUCGAAGCCCCAGUAAACGGCGGCCGUAACUAUAACGGUCCUAAGGUAGCGAAAUUCCUUGUCGGGUAAGUUCCGACCCG